rnacentral:rRNA from 1 species
AACGAACGCUGGCGGCAGGCUUAACACAUGCAAGUCGAACGCCCUCUUCGGAGGGAGUGGCAGACGGGUGAGUAACACGUGGGAAUCUACCUAUCUCUGCGGAACAACACAUAGAAAUGUGUGCUAAUACCGCAUACGCCCUCCGGGGGAAAGAUUUAUCGGAGAUAGAUGAGCCCGCGUUUGAUUAGCUAGUUGGUGAGGUAAUGGCUCACCAAGGCGACGAUCAAUAGCUGGUCUGAGAGGAUGAUCAGCCACACUGGGACUGAGACACGGCCCAGACUCCUACGGGAGGCAGCAGUGGGGAAUAUUGGACAAUGGGCGCAAGCCUGAUCCAGCCAUGCCGCGUGAGUGAUGAAGGCCCUAGGGUUGUAAAGCUCUUUCAACGGUGAAGAUAAUGACGGUAACCGUAGAAGAAGCCCGGCUAAC